UGGGGAAUAUUGCACAAUGGGCGAAAGCCUGAUGCAGCAACGCCGCGUGAGUGAUGAAGGCCUUCGGGUUGUAAAGCUCUGUCUUUUGGGACGAUAAUGACGGUACCAAAGGAGGAAGCCACGGCUAACUACGUGCCAGCAGCCGCGGUAAUACGUAGGUGGCAAGCGUUGUCCGGAUUUUACUGGGCGUAAAGGAUGCGUAGGCGGAUUUUUAAGUGAGAUGUGAAAUACCCGGGCUUAACUUGGGUGCUGCAUUUCAAACUGGGAAUCUAGAGUGCGGGAGAGGAGAAUGGAAUUCCUAGUGUAGCGGUGAAAUGCGUAGAGAUUAGGAAGAACACCAGUGGCGAAGGCGAUUCUCUGGACCGUAACUGACGCUGAGGCAUGAAAGCGUGGGUAGCAAACAGGAUUAGAUACCCUGGUAGUCCACGCCGUAAACGAUGAGUACUAGGUGUAGGAGGUAUCGACCCCUUCUGUGCCGCAGUUAACACAAUAAGUACUCCGCCUGGGAAGUACGAUCGCAAGAUUGAAACUCAAGGAAUUGACGGGGUCAUAGCUGUUUUCCU
rnacentral:rRNA from 1 species